AGUAUUUAAAAUUUAACUGUAUAGAGAAUAAAUUACAGUCAUUCAUAAGUUUUGAUUGAUAGGUAUAUUAAACAAUAUAAUAUCACUGGUUAGGUGUGUAUAUUGCCAGGUUAACAUGACCUGUAGUAAAUUUGAGUAAAAUUAAAGUUAAAGAGAAAGUUUAGGGAGUAGGUUUAAAAAAACUGUUUUGAUAUAACUAAAAAUAAUAAGGAAACGGAAUAGGGAAUAAAGUAAGGAACUAAUGUUGUCUCCGGAUCGCAGUGACAACGACGGCAGAGCUAAGGAUGAAAUUUGUGAGUGAUUAACUCUAGUUUCCUAGUUGGCCGCGGUUUCUACUGUGAUUCGUUAAUUUGUGUUUUUUGUUGUUUCGUAUACUAUAUAGUUUUGAGGCUCUAGUCCAAAGUCUCAAGAUUUUUAGUUUUAGUCGUAGUUUAACUUUUGACUAAAAGGUUGAAUUGCUAUUAUUCGCGUUUUUGUGUCGUCCACGUGGUUAAAUAAGUAGAGUAGUGUAAUUUUGAAUCUCUCGUCCAAGGUUUCAAAACUAGGUAAUUUAACUUUUGAUUAAAAAGUUGGGUUAUGUAAAAAAUCCCAUAUGGUUAAUCUAGGGAUGUUGGUUAUAGUUUUCCUGGGAAAAACUAAAAUUAUUGGCACGUUAAAUUGUGAGAUUAUCGCAAAGUCAUUAAUACGAGUUUCAUAGGAGGUUAAAGUUAAGAAUGCGACACUUUUUUAGAAAAGUGGAGUAUACGGUAGAUUUUGUCCGUAUAUAAUUUUAUGUAAUUAAAUUUUUGCUUAGAAACGUAAUAUUAACGUUUAAUAUAUACUGCUAAUUGCUUUAAGCUGUCGACAUGUACGCAAAGAUUAGAAUGUGUAAUUUGACAUGAGGUCGAAUUAUUAUAAACAAUAGGUUCUAACACUGUGUUAAAUUUGACGUGUGUAAAAGUCACGGAUUGCAUUAAUAUAAUAUAUAGGAUAUAGUUAGGAAUAGUUAGUUCUUGGUCUGAUGGCAAUGACAUGUUUGAUUGACGGAUAAAAUUGUACAACCCAUACUUAGAAGAAAAAAAGAAAGUUUCAACUUGAUACUAUGGUAGCUGAAACAGACCAAUACAAAUCCAAGAAGAAGAAAUGGUUUAUCAGUUUACUAAAUUGAGAUUUCCUGAGACAGAAUUUGAAGUGAAACCUGAACUUUAUAAACAUUAGUGAUGUGUUAUAGUGUUUUGAAAUUAGGACACUUGAAGAUUUUAAAAAGACAAUUUGUGUUGUCUGUGUUUGGGCUUAGUGAAUUUUCAUAGGAUUUUACAGUGAUGAACUUUUUGGAGAACUUUUGCAUGCAACUUUUGAUUUUUGAUUUUUGAUUAUGUGUGUUUGUGUUUUCACAUUUUUGUUAUAUAGUAUAGUAUAAUUGAUAUUUGCCUGAUUAAUUAUAGGGUUUAGCACAUAGACGUUUUAAGAGUCUCCUACCUGUUCAUUUAGCAUAAAUCUUAGAAGGCGGGGAGGUGAUAAUUAUAUAUGUUGAUUUUCUAGAUUUCUGCUACAUUUAUGAAUAGUUAUAUAAUUCUACAGAUGUUGGUAUGGUUAUUGUAAAGGAUUCAAGGGAUCUUUUACCCAAUACCGAGCAAAAAGUCUUAAAGAAAGGGACGAAUGUAAUACUUUUAGUAGAAUUUUUGCUCGAGAAAUAACAUAUUCGCAUAACAUGUGAUAUGUACUUAAAAUACUUAAAUCAACUUAGUCUGUAAUUGAUAGUUGACACAUAAAAAAGAGCGAUUUAUCGAAAACAUAUGUCACUCAUUUACCACCGAAUUACACGUGAGUGGAAUUAUUCUAAUUGCAUCAUUUGGUUUAAAGUAACCAAUCAUAUCGUUAAUUGCACAGGUUCAGGGCCAUGAACAGGCUUUCUGUGCGUGAUCUGCAGGAGUCUUAUAAAAUAAAUCAUAGUAAAGUUUUAAGGCAGACUUGCAUUAGAAUCCAGAGAUCGAGGGUACAUCUGAGUUCCUAGACAGCCGAGAGGCUGGAUAGGGUGGAAAAGUGGUUUUAGCUAUAUAGUAUUGUAAUUUGUGCUAUGCUUGUAUACCUGUAUUCAUUUAUGUGCUAUAUAAAAUGUAGAAGCGAA